CUCAUAUCCUAGAGCUCUCUUCCUACAGCCUCUAACAGCCUAUUACAUAGGCCUCUCUGUCUUCAUUUGCUUUCACUCCGACUAGAAUUGGAGCACCUCAAGGUACAGAGGAAAGACCAUGUGAAGACACAGGAAGAAGGUGACUGCCUACAAGCCCAGGACAGAAACUUCAGAAGGCAUCAACCUUGCUGACAGCUUGAUCUUGGAGACUCAGCCUACAGAAUUGUGGGAAGCCGAGAGCACCUUGCUGGGGAGACGGGAACCUUGCAAUCAGGUCAUGGAAAGGGAACGAGGUGUGAAUGGAAGGAUCUGAAGCUGAUCUCCUAAGAGUGGAGGACAGAAGGGAUUAAGAAAACAACUGGGCAGGAAGCAUGUGGUAAUUGAAGUGGCACACUGCUGCGCAGAGGUUGCUCUGGAAGUGGUGUGUGCUGAGAUCAGAUUUUCAUGUAUUGUGCCUUUCACGGUAUCACAGAACCAAGAUACAUGUACAGGGAAUGAUAUUAAGUGUUAAAUAAAAGCUGUAUAGACAUUGGGAAUUAAACUAGAAGCUGCUUACAUCCAGUGGAGCAAGGAAAAUCGAAAAACUCAAAGAAAAAUGGCAAAAGAAAUUGUUUCCAGACAAGGAAAUGAAAACAUCAUCAAAUAUUAGAGAAAGAGCAAUUCCCAGGAAAUAAUUAUCCCAAAAUGCAAAAUAAAAUUUAGGGAAUGUGUUGAUCCUCAUUAAUGAAGAACCAAGGAAAGUUUUUUAUUAAACAAGAGCAGAAAUCUCCAAGGCGAAGCUGAGAUAAAUGAGCAAGAGAAUGAGUUAUAAAGGUACGUAACAGGCGUAAGGAAGAAUUACAAAGUAAAUAUAACCAUAACUGCAGAAUUUUAAAGCCUAUAUCAGAGCCUUACAGGUUAGAAUUGACACUGUAAAGUGUAAGAUCUAAGGAGCUCUCUUAGAAUGCAGAGGGAAAUGUCCAAAGAUAAAACUAGUAAGAGAAAAUAUAACAGAUGAGAAAAACAGAAAACAGAAAUGCAACUUAAACAUUAUUGAUAGGUAUAAAGAAGACUUUUUGAGCAACAAGAAAGGAAUAAUAAAAAAUACAAUUCAAACACAUUUUCCUGAAGUUAAAAAAAUUGAAUAUCAAAGAGGUCAAGCAUAUUCUAGACAAAUUCACCUAAAAGCAUCCUGGCACAUCUUAUUGAAAAUGUUCAACUACAAGGUAAAAAAAAUUAGAAUCAUCUAUCAAAUGAGAAAGCAUACUCUUCUCUUUUCCCAAAAUACAUGCCUUGUCAAUGGAAAUGCAUCUAUAUACAUCUACAAAGUUUGCAUCUUAAGAAUUUUAUACAUACCCAAGUUGUCUUUCAUAAGUGAAAGAAACAGGUAAUCUUUGAUAUGAAGAGGCUGUGAACGUACACCACCCACAUGCUGUUUUUAAAAGGUUUGUGAAGGAUUGUUCCAGUCAUGUAACAGCAAAAUGCAGAUCUUAAAAUGUGGAUAAUGUAAUUAGAAGAUUUCGCAUUGAGACUAUUGCUGAAAAAGAUAAUAGCAAAACUAUCUACCUAGCCAGCUAGAUAGAUAAUACACAAAGAGUAAUAGACAGUAAUAGGAAUUCAUAGAAAAUGUAAACCAUCAACAAAAUGACAGAAGAGAUAUCAGAUGUCAUUUUCAUGGUCUGUUCACUCUAUUCCUUACUGCCCCCAAAAGGUCUGCAUAGGAAACCCAAUACAUCCCAUCUUCCCCCAAUACUCUCAGGCCCACCAUUGCAACUCACAGGAAGACCAACCCCAUAAGUCUCUAAUUGGUACUUAUAUCCACGUCCCCAUAGAACCAUCAGGACUAACUGUAUCAUGCCUAUUUUCCUAUUCACUUUAGCACCACGUGAAACUCAAACUUCCCAGAUUAACCCAUGUUAGCAAAGGAACACCUGAGCAGGCAAAACAUUGACCUUACAAGCUCUGAGGGAGGCUCACCCCUGCCAUUCCCAUUGCAUCUAGUGGUUCCCAACCUUAUUAGAUCCAAUGUCCUGCUACUAUAACAAAUAUUUUGUAGUGCUUGCUUUACUCUCCUGAAACAAAAAGUACAGGCAAUAUAACCUACAAUGCAUGCAUAAUUAAAAACAAUCAUACUAGGGGAAAUACAAAGGGAAAAAUAUGUGCGCUGUUAAUGUUCACACAUGACAACACUAGAAGACACAAUGAAGGGUUAGAUGCUUUCAACGAGAGAUGGGAUCAUCAGAAUGUGAUAGCGCUAAAGUAGACCGACGCUGGCUUGUUUUCUUGUGACGUAGAUAUAGAGCAGUAGCGUGGUUGGUAAUGCGAUUUACUGAAAUGUUGAAUAACGGCUGGUAAAUUUCCAAAUAAAAUAUGUAUCAUCUUCCUUCAAGUUAAAUAGUAGUUCCCAUUCCUAGAAAAUUUAGCGUUAACUAAAAUUGUGCAGAAAAUCUAGAUUUACAUGUUCUAGAAGGACACACUUAUGAAAUGGUUUUUCAGUAGGAUGUUCCAAGUUUGUGUUGGUAUGUGACAAAGAAGUUUUUUUUUAUGGACUGUACCAUUCAUUACAGGAUACCUAGCAACUUUAGCACCCUUCCAUUAAUUGUAAAUGAUGCCACCCUAAUCAUUAUGACAACUAAAAAAAACACCCACUAAUUUCCAAAUACCCCCUAGGGGGCAGUACUACCUUUGCUGAGAAACGUUGAUCUGAAAUUAGCCUGAGAAGUUUAUUACCACCAGGAGGACUAUUGUAAGCUCUAACUUUGGCUCUACCCGCAAGCAUACACAAACACAUCAAGACUCAUGGAAAGCAGUUUAUGUUCCUAGAAGAAAAAUUAACCAUUUCAACUAUUUGUAUUCACAAUUUUAGUAUGUUUAAACUUGAUUUUCAGAAUUGGUUCUUUCUUAUUUUAAAGCUGGAGAAGAACUUCUGCUUUAAAAAUGACUAUCCUUAAAUUCUCUAAAAGCUGACCAUCAUUGAAAUUUUGUAACUGUUAUGGUAGAGUUUAUUCUAACAUUUCUAAGGGAAAUAAAAAGUAUUUUGCUUAUGAAUGCAGUGCCUUUAUUUUUUAAUACUCAAUCAUUGUAAAUAACUAUGUGUUUUAAAUUAUAUUAAAAAAUAGAAAAAUUCUUUGAUGAUCCAAAAGAUUCCCUAAUUUUGUUAAGAUCAAGUAAAAAAUAAUAUUAGUAUAAGUCAAAUAAUAUGGAAUGUAAAUGCUCAAUUAAGUGAAUGGCCAGAAUGAGGUAAAAUUAAUUGGUGAGAUAUUAUUGUGUAGGAGAUUAUAGAACUAAACUGAUAAAUAAUAGAAUGUCAGAAAAGAUAGGAUUGAACUUGAAGAGAACUCAUGGAACAUGAAAAACAUAAAGGCAGAAAACAGUGAGGAGACGCAAAUUGUAGUAUGACACAAUGCUUUAACUACUAAAGUCUAAAGAGUAGGUGGAAUUCAAUUAUAUCUCCUUUUUAAAAAGUUGACUUUUCCUUAACCUUGAGUUUUUCAUUUAUUUUAGCAGGACAUCAAAAGGCAGAGUCUUGAGGGCCAGCCCAGUGGUGUAGUGAUUAAGUUUGCAUGCUCUGCUUCAGCAACCCAGGGUUCAUGGAUUCAGAUCCUGGGCAUGGACCUACACACUGCUCAUCAGGCCAUGCUGUGGUGGCAUCCCACAUACAAAAUAGAGGAAGAUUGGUAGAGAUAUUAGCUUGGUGACAAUCUACCUCAAGCAAACAGAGGAAGACUGGCAACAGAUGUUAGCCCAGGGCAAAUCUUCCUCAGCAAAAACAAAAAACAAAAAACAAAGUCUUGAUCAUACUAACUAGACUUUUGAGUGAUUUGACUUCUUAACUGAGGGUGUUCAUCCCAUUCUUGACUUUUACCCUCUAGUUGCCUAUUUACUGUAACAUUUGGAGCAUAUCUGUUCCUCUAGGAAUUUUUGAGAAGUUGCAGCUCAUAUCUGAUUAUUGAAGCGCAAUUUAGGACACUAUUCUAGACCACAGCAAAGCUGUGUUUGUUCUCAGAAACACCAAGGAUUCAAUUUUGGAGUUUUGCACAAGUAACGAACACUUAAACAGCUAACUGCUAAAAUUCUUAUUAUAGGCUUUGCAUAGUCAAAAUCUGUGUUUCUGCUCAUAUGUACAUAUCUAUAUAUGUGUAUAUAUACAUGUAUGAUACAUAGACAUGCACUAUAUAUGUAUAUGUAUGCAUAUAUGGUGAAUAAGACUUAAAUUUACUAAGAAAAAUAACUACAUCUAUAUAUUAGACUACUAAAGCAUCUGCUACUGAAAUUGUAAACUUUCUUUUAAAAUAUUUCAAUUGAUUACUCAUUUGGAAUAAUGUAAACCAAAGGAAUAUUAAGAAGGGGCCACAUUGUCAAAACAUCAUUAAUGCCCCAAUUUCACAUCAAUUAUAUCAACUAAUGGAAAAGCUUUCUAAAACUAUAAGUAAAAUAACAAAGGGUGUCAGUUCAAGGACCCCUUAAUUGUCUAAAUUAUUCCUGCAGGAUUGGUGGUCUUUUCUUUGUAUGGGCCAACUGCUUUCCCCAUUCUUGUUACCCUGGCUCCUCCCAUUCAUACCCAUAACCCUGCCAUUGACCAUGUUAUUGUUUAGGAGCAUUGUGAUUUUAAAAGGAUGUGUGUGGGGGUCAUAGUUAAGCCAUUGUCAGUUGCUAUUAUAAUUAUAGUGAUUGUUAUCUGGUGAAAGCUUUUUUGGCAGACUUCCACCAAAAGGCUAAAACUUACAUCCACUUUAUUUCCAUUAAGCUAUCCUGGUUUGUUGUUUAAAAUGAGAUUUAAAUUCAGUUUUUUUUGUUUUAAAUAAUGUUAGCAUUAUUGAAUUCCAUAACUACCAAAAAAGGCUUCCAAAUUCAUUUAAAAAUCAAUUAACUGAUUGUCUUAAAGACUGUCACAAACCAGGACAUUAAACCAUGUAUGACGCAGGUUUGUGAUGUCAGUUAAUAAAAUAGGUAUGUAUGUAAAAUAUGAUGUUUUUUCUGAACUAAAUUUUUUUAAGAAAGAGGAAAUUUAUAAAAUUAUGAAUAUUAGUUCUUUUUGAAAAAAAUUCUUGUGAUAAGUAAAUAGCAUGCCUCUAGGUAUGCCUAUGUGCUUAAGUAGUUCCAAAUAGAAAUAUGAGAAUAAUUCCUCUGAGAAAUUUUACUUUUGUUCACUAUUAGUUACAUAUAAGGAAACAUAAA
ensembl:lncRNA